rnacentral:lncRNA from 1 species
AAAAAAGAAGACAUUUUACAAGGGAAAAUGUAACAUUUUAUAUUUGGGUUCACUAAAAUGAUUCGUUCAAAUACAUAGUGGAGGAGCGUGGGGGCCCAAGGGGACUGGUUUUCCAUGGGUUCCUUAUGGACCAAGAGUGUGAAGAUCGGGAGAGCCCCCCACACAUGGGAGGCAAGGACCUAGCACAGGGAGGGCCGCAGCCUUUCUCCAUCCCUGCUUCUUGGGCCAACUGCCCGUGUGUGGGGCCCAGGAGGUGGAGGUUGCAGUGAGCCAAGAUCUCGCCAUUGUACUCCAGCCUGGACAAUAGAGUGAAACUCUGUUUCAAAAAAGUAAAAUAAAACAAAAUAAAAAUACAUAAACAAAAAUAAAAAGGGCAAACCAAGGCACUGGGGUUCAAGCCCUGCCUCUGUCACUUUGUAUGACCUUUGGCAAGGUACUUAAGCUCUCUGUG